rnacentral:rRNA from 1 species
GGAUCCAGACUUUGAUUAUGGCUCAGGACGAACGCNGGCGGCGCGCCUAACACAUGCAAGUCGAGCGGGAAGCUUUUUAAGGAUUCUUCGGAUGAAUUAAAAAGUGGAGAGCGGCGGACGGGUGAGUAACGCGUGAGAAACCUGCCCUAUACAGGGGGAUAGCCAUUGGAAACGAUGAUUAAUACCCCAUAUGACCACAGUAUCGCAUGAUACAGCGGUGAAAACUCCGGUGGUAUAGGAUGGUCUCGCGUCUGAUUAGCUAGUUGGUGGGGUAACGGCCUACCAAGGCGACGAUCAGUAGCCGGCCUGAGAGGGUGACCGGCCACACUGGAACUGAGACACGGUCCAGACUCCUACGGGAGGCAGCAGUGGGGAAUAUUGCACAAUGGGCGAAAGCCUGAUGCAGCGACGCCGCGUGAACGAUGAAGGCUUUCGAGUCGUAAAGUUCUGUUCUUGGGGAAGAUAACGACGGUACCCAAGGAGAAAGCACCGGCUAAAUACGUGCCAGCAGCCGCGGUAAU